AUGAAAACGCAAACAGCUGAAGAAGGAAAGGGGGCCAAGGGCCCACUUGGAGGGGCUGGCAUGAGUCAGAUGACUUGGCCUUGGAAAGCGGUGACUUACCGAGGUCGUUUCAUUGCUGCCAGAAAGCAGUGGGAGAGAAGCAGCAAAUGGCCAGCACACACUCCUAGAAGAGAAAGCAUCUCUCCCGACACGUGCAGUCCAGUCCGGCAGAGGCAGCCUGGAAAUGGAGUCCACACCACAGCGAGGGCUUGCAAGGGACCCAAGAGUCACUCCCUGCCCUCCCUUGUGGCGUCUCCCUCUAGCCCAUCUGCCACAGCUCAUGGGACCUUCCCAGACACAGACACAGCCUGCAGAGGAGGCCGGGGAGUGAGAGCCAAUAGGCAGCAGGCAGGCCUGCAGCACACUCCCCAUUUCUGCUGUCAACUGUGCAGGUAG
rnacentral:lncRNA from 1 species